rnacentral:rRNA from 1 species
AUGUUACCUAAAAAACAUCUAUCUGGCUGUGAGAAAAGAAACAACAAGAAAAGAGUAGACAAGUUGAUUAAAUCUCAGGAAGGCGCUAUGGAUAUGUUUGUCUUGAGGACUGGUGCUGCUACAAAUUCAGAGCAAUUAUAUAUCACAAAUGGUGAAGAAAAACCUGAUGAUACUAAGAAUGCCGUUGAGGAAAAUCAUGUCGAGAAAAAUAAUGCUGCGGAAAAUGAUGCCGAUCAGCACACGGAAAAUUUUAGUGACCAUGAGAAUCUUGGAAAUGCAGAUGAGCAGGGUUCUUCUUUUGAUAUAUAUGAUCCUAGAACUUGGAAUAUUCUUGACAAUAAAUCAAGAGAUAUUCUCAUUGAAAAAGGACCUAUAAGGGAAUACAAUCUUGUGUUUCCCGAAGAUGAAAUUAGUGGCAGGCAUUUUUCAUAUGAUUACUACACAAGAAAGUUAAGGAAUGGCGAGUUCAGUGAUCGGAGGUGGUUAGUGUACUCUAAACACGUGAAUAAAGUCUACUGUUUUUGUUGCAAAUUGUUUAAAUCUGGAAAAAGCAAAAGUCUGCUAGCAUCCGAGGGAUUGAAGGAUUGGAGACAUCUUAGUGAGAAGCUCAAAUUGCAUGAGAAUAGUGUUGAGCAUAUCACUAACAUGAAUACUUGGAAUGAGGUAAGGCUGAGGCUAAGUAAGAAGGAAACAAUUGAUAAAGACAUGCAACAAGAGAUUGCAAGGGAGAAGGAGCGAUGGAGACUUGUUUUAAUUAGAAUUGUUGCUGCUGUGAAAUUUCUUGCUAAACAUAGUCUGGCUUUUCGAGGAUCGAAUGAGAAAUUAUAUCAAGAUAACAACGGAAUUUUUUUGGGAGUAAUUGAAAUGAUGGCAGAAUUUGAUCCUGUAAUGCAAGAGCAUCUUCGGCGCAUUAAGAAUAGUGAAAUCCAUCAUCAUUAUCUUGGCCAUAAUAUUCAGAAUGAGUUAAUUUCCCUUCUUGGUCGCACUGUUAAAUAUUCUCUGUUGAGGAUAAUUAAGGAUGCAGGGUAUUUCUCUGUCAUCUUGGACUGUACACCUGACGUGAGCCAUCAAGAACAAAUGACUCUAAUUGUGAGGUGCGUAAACAUGUCAAGUACUACUACAAAAAUAGAGGAGUUUUUUCUGGAGUUCUUGAAGGUGGAUGAUACAUCAGGACUUGGACUUUAUAAUGUGUUAAUAGAUUCACUUAAAUCUGUUGGUUUGGAUGUUAAAGAUGUUCGUGGACAAGGGUAUGACAAUGGUUCGAACAUGAAGGGAAAACACCAAGGGGUACAGAGCAGACUACUUGAAACUAAUCCAAGAGCAUUAUUCAUGCCAUGCGCUUGUCAUAGCCUGAACCUUACUCUUAGUGAUAUGGCAAAAUCUUGCGGUAAAGCUGUUACCUUCUUUGGUGUUGUGCAAAGAAUUUAUAUAUUGUUUUCAAGCUCUACUAAAAGAUGGCAGCUAUUGCUUGAUCAUGUUCCAAAAAUGACAGUUAAGUCUUUGUGUAACACUCGAUGGGAGAGUCGAAUAAAGAGUGUUCAGGCUAUCAGAUAUCAAGCACCCGAGUUAAGAAAAGCAUUACUGGAAUUGAAGAGAACUUCUACCGAUGACGCCAAGACUAAGAGUGACGCAAAAUCUUUGGCUAGCGCACUUGAGAAAUUUGAAUUUUUACUUGGCAUGGUCAUUUGGCAUGACAUUUUGUUCACUGUAAACAUGGUGAGUAAGAAGUUGCAGUCUAAGUUUGUGUGCAUUGAUGUUACUCUUAAACAGAUUGAAGAUGCCAUCUCAUAUUUUAAGAAGUACAGAAAUGACGGCUUUGCAACUAGUCUGGAUAUUGCGAGAUCUAUUGCAAUUGACAUGGGUGUACAACCUUUGUUUCCUGUCAAGAGACGUAUUACUAGAAAAAGACAGUUUGAUGAAAUUAGUGGCAAUGACGAAAAUAACCAGAAUGAAGAAACACAAGCAAUUAAAUACUUUUUGCUGAUGAUUGAUGUUGCAAUUGCUUCCCUAACUACUAGAUUUGAGGAACUGAAGACAUUUGGGAGCAUAUUUGGUUUCUUGUUCAACUCGAAAGAGUUGAAGUCCUUGGGUGAUAAUGAUCUAAGAAGAUGUUGCACUAAUUUUGUCAACAAAUUCACUCAUGGUAAGUCAGCAGAUGUCGAUCUAGAUGAUUUCGUUUCUGAACUAAAAGUACUGCAGAUGACAUUGCCAAACACAUUCAUGUCAGCGGAUCAGAUAUUUGAGUUUGUUAGAGAUGCGGAUUGUUAUCUAAAUGUCUCAAUUGCUUAUCGUAUCCUUUUGACCGUACCUGUGACUGUUGCAUCAGCUGAAAGGAGUUUCUCAAAAUUGAAACUAUUGAAAAAUUAUUUGAGGUCAACGAUGUCUCAAGAAAGAUUGAAUGGAUUGGCCAUGUGCUGCAUUGAGAAGAAUAUGCUGGAUAGUAUUGAUCUUGACACUCUCAUUGAUGAUUUUGCGUCAAAAAAUGCACAGAAGUCUCGUUUCACAUGA